CGGCCCGACUCGGCACGACACCUGGGACGAGGGGGGGGAGCGAUUGGGGGUGGUGUUUGGGGGAACACCCAGACACACCUCGGCCCCGCUCGCCCGUUGGGGCAGCAGGAGGCGGCCCUCCGACGGCACGGGAUGCCCCGCUGGGUGCCGUCCCUGCCCCUUAGGGCCCGGUCGGAAAGGCAGAGCGCUGACCGGAGCAGGCACGGUGGAGGUGGAAGGAACAGAUCCUUCCCAAACCUACCCGCAUGUCGCGUAACCCCCGGAGCGAAGCGCUGCGCUCCUUUGAGAGGCACGCUUGGAAAGCAGCGCGGUCAAAGGAAGCCAGUCCUACACCUUACCUUCCCCUACCGCCUGAGCACACCUCGCCUCGGAGCGUGAACCUCUCGGGGCACGGCACCCUACUGAACCCACAGCAGACCAGCUAGGUAUCACCUACCUCCUUUUUCAUUACAUUACAAAUGGGGCUCCAGUAUUCCCCCAAAGCGUGCCUUUAGUGCUGAAGUCGACUCGGUUGUUCCUAAGUAGCACUUUGCAGUACACACUUUUUUUUUUUUUGCACUUGGCUUCAUACCAUGUGCACGCAGAAUGUCCACGAUUUCUCUGCUUUGCCCGAGUAAACCAACUGUACAGAUGCCUGCAGUACGUCGGUCACAUUAGAAUAAACGCAAAUUCUGUCUGGCUACUAUUUAUGAUUCUUUUUUUUGGCAUACAACCUAAUGUAAAAUACGUUGUUUUCAUGGGCGCUCUGAUUAAUAUUUGCAUUAUGUGGCGCCAUUAAAUGCAUCGGUGCUUACUUGAGAAACCGCCGGGCUUUAAACUGAAGAUCAAAGAGGUUUAUUUGGUUAAGGACACCUUUGUUUGGGCAACGGCUUCGAUCAAAUAAACCAAUAUUGUCGGGAUUCUCGCUGAAAUGAAAUGAAUGAAGCUAGCAUCACCGUUAAAGAACUCUAACAUCGCGUUUCCUCCUAGAAACCUGUUGCUUUACACUUGCCAGCCCAGCAGAUAUUCCGUAAAAGAAUAAAAAAGCAGAGGUGCAGGGGAGCAGGACUGACAUUAGGGAGGGUCAUUCUCGAGACGCUUCGCAUCCAUGCUCUCCACUCCUCCGCGUUUGUUACAGGCUAUAAACAAGCGAUGUAUUUCCAGACUUAGGAUACGCUGCAGUUAUUUAUAUGCAGAUAGACUAAAUCACUGCCAAAGGAGGAGCACCUGCCUAAAAGACAGCAAAAAAGAAAUUCUCAGUUUCUUCCCGCCUAAGCCCAUGCGUAAGUCCGGCAAUUCAAGCAAUUCAAGCAUCUCUUUUGUGUCUUUUUUUUUUUUUCCUUUUUCUUUACAUCUGGUGCUGUACAAAGGUGACAGAGUCGCAAACACCGUUGGUGCACAUCGUGCCUGUGUACACCGAGGGCAUAGUGGUGCACCACCAUGUAGCAUUCCCUACAGAAGUAUAAUGCCUUUAACACGGCUUGUUGAUGAAACCCCGGGACUGGUGGCACCGGGCAGGAGCUCAGCACCUUUCCAGCCGCUUUUCCUAGCUCAGCACCACUGGGACCCCAGCGUAGGCUCAAGGCUGGAGUGCCAGCGGCUUUGUUUUCGUGCCAUUCCCGGCCCGACGUGUGGAGGACUCGGGAGCCCUCAUCCCAGGCCAAUAGCCCGAGGGAAGCGCGAUGUCGGUGCAAGGCUGAGACCCGGGGAAAAGUCUAAAUUAAGCAGAAAAUGGAGCUUAUCUAGAGCAAAAUCACGCACGACGAGAAGGCACAGAGCAGCAGACACAGCUGAGAGGAGAAAGCGAGACAAGGUCCAAGGAAAACAAAAAGCGAGAAGGCAACAAUGCACUGCCCUAACGAAGUCGGUGCGUUCCCAGUGCCUUCCAGAUCAGUUCCCAGCUCACUGCCUGAUCCUGACUCGGGCAAAACUGACCACCUAGGAGCUUAACGCCUAGAAGAAGAAAUAUUUUCGCAAGCCAAGGGAACAAAUCCUGCAAGACCUGGCGCUGAUUAAGUAGAGGGCAUGCCUGCAAACACACUUCGCAGUAAUUUGGGGGCUGUCACUUCCAGCCGAAGAGAAAAUGUUUUUUUGCUAUAUAAUGAACAUGAGGUAAUAAACUAAGCAAACUGCCGCUGACUUUGUUCGGGAGAUUUGUGCAAACUGUUUCUACAGCUCAUUGAUCGAGGAUCAAAGAAGGAAAGUUACUUUUGAGCUGUAACUCCAAGCAGAGAGCACUGACCGGGAGCCGAGCUCGGCUCCCUCCUUACACCUCACUUCCCCGGGGCGUUUCGCAAAGCGCUGCUCCCGGCGCUCCCGAAACCUUCACGGUCGCACGAAUCCCGGGGUCAUUCGUUAACUUUCCCAACCCAACAAUGCCGCCGGGAGUUCAUCCUUCUGAUUUAUUGACCUUUUAAACCCGCCGGGACGCGGCGCGGGGAUCCUCCGGCGAGCGAUGUGUUUCUAUUUCAGAGCGCGGGGUUGGAAGUGGUGCUCCCAGCGUUAUCAGAGCCGACCACAAAUGCCACAUGAAAAGCAGCAAACAUCCGGAGGGUUUCCUGCAAACCGAGCAGUUUCUCAAGACAAGAGCCUUUUUUUUUUUUUUUUUUUUUUUUUUUUUUUUUUUUUAAACUCGUGUUUAAAGGCAGCACGCUUCGCCUCUUUUAAGCGGUUCAGACCCAUUAAAUGUAAGCCGCCGCUCCGACAGCACUGCAUGGGGCAAGAAAUCGCCCUGAAUGAAGAUUUUUUAAGGACGUUGCGUUAGGAAAGUGCUUGGAUCUCAGAGCCCCUGCUGCCCAGGGAUGACGCCCUACUGAAGCGAAGAAAUCAAAUCCCCCAAAACGAAAAAAUAUCCCCACUCCUCGCCCUCCCCCCAUUGGCAGCGAUGGAGAUCCAGGCUGCUCACCCGCAUAUCCCCUCAUUUUAUUUAAGGAUUAAUUGGUGAUGACAAAGAUCGCCACGAUCUUUGCUUUUUUCUCUGUGAAGUUAGGGAGCAGCCGCUGGACUGCAUCGGGAGGGCCCGGCACCGUCUCGGGUCUGGAGCCCUCGGGUUGGAGGCUGAGCUGUGCAGGGCCAAAAAGCGGUGCAACACCUGGGGCCGGGCAGAUACCCCGUGCCUGAAUUUCCAAGAACAGAAAUCCUGUUAGUUUUUAUGCUUCAGUAAACGCCAGCGAUAAGAUUAAAAAAAAAAAAAAAAAAAAAAAAAAAAAAAAAAAAAGCUUGAUACAAUGCUGGAGCUGCUCCAAAAGAUCAGGCAUCUGAACUAAACUAAACAGUUUGAGCUAGCCUAUUUGUAUUUAUUCUGGUUUUAUGUCAGUGGAGCUAACACAGGCUUGUAGCAGUGCAAGAUUUAUUGUGACAAGCUAGAUGCUCAAGUCGCAGCUUAGCGGAGGACAAUUCAUGUAACCAUGCAAUCAAAAAGCUGAUCCCAACUACACCGGAGUGAAAUGAAUUUCCUCCUUGCCAUCACCCAGCUCCCAUACGCUUACAACGGCCAGAACGAAAGAAAUAAAAUAUGCUCUAGAAGGUGGGAUACAUUGCUACAUAUUAGGAUGGUGGUUGCUAGCUUUAUAGCAUAUGUUUAUAUCUUGCGUUCUUCAGUAGCAAUAUUUCAGUGUUUCACACGUGAAAAGUUCUUUGUCUUUAGCCAGAAGAAAACUGCUGCAUUAUACAAACGAGAAAGUUGCUGGGGCUAAAGCUUAGGCAGGUAACGUGCUGUCACGCCAGCUACCUCUCAUGACAGCAGAGAUGAUCUGGGAUUUCAGCAUGUAAAUAAUCCUUCUGCUGGCAUUUAGCAGAAGUACAUAAAUGCUACUACCAAAAGUUUUGCAUGACAAUGACAACUCAAAUCUCAACAGCUAGCCUUUUGCAGUACUGAUCAAUCAACGGUAAUGAACAAGAUCAAAAAGAAAUUCAGAACAUAUUUAAAAUUGACAACACUACAGCUGAAUAAAACUGUAUAAAGCUAGACUGAUAACAUGAUACAUUUAUUUAAAAAAGAACCAUGCAAUCAAGCAAACAAACAA